GCAAAAUGCUUUUUUUCAUCCAAAAACUGCUUGCUGAACAUGUUGUGGAGCCGACUGUAGUCUUAGUAACAGUACGAACACUAUAAUUUGGAAAAUCGCAUGAUUCUAUUAUAAAAUGGAGUGUGUCAUAAAAAGAAGGUCAAAUGGUUGUAUCAAGACGACGCUAGACGUUCAUAGGAUUAUGAUGGUUAUCUACCAAACGUUAGAGUUAAACGGCUUUGUUUUACCUUCAUGGAUAACUAAGGAAAAUGUGUUGUAGUGGGUGAGAAACCAUAUGGUUUAAUAGAAAUGUGUAUUACAUAAUGCAAGUAGUGAGCUCGUGAGAAGGCCCAUGUCAAUCUUAAAGACUUCUAACCUCUACAUGUCAUCCCCACGACCCUUAAAUCUCACGUGGAACAAUUGUUGUGUAGCCUCAUGUCCAACAGAGAAGAUUAGGUUUAAGAAUCUAAUGCGAUAGUCCCACCCUAUGAAGCUGCAUUUCGCAUAUAUGAUUAUUGCGGAGUGGUGAGUUCAAGGUGGGAAUUAAUAAAUGAUUAAGGGACAAAGUAGGUCGGAAAAAUCGUUUUUUUUAUUAGAAGUAGAUCGAGGUCGAAAGAGGUUGCAAUUGCAAGGCGAGUUCCAUAUUUGAAUCUAGGUCGUUAUGCAAAUAAAGAUUGAGGUUACUAAGUUUUCUCUCUACAAUCUCUUUUAAGCUCUUAGGAGGAAAAAGUCAAUCUUUUACUCGGUUAUAAAAUGUUUUCUUUUAUAGCCGAUGGGCGGAUGGAAUAAGAUAAAAGACAGUUCACCAUCUUUGUUGAUGAGAUCAUAUAUUCGGUGUUUGUCAGGUGAGGUCACGUAUUCUCUGCGACGAAGGUUUGGUUCGCAUCGUCCCAAGGCAUUGAAUGCAAAUCAGAUUGUGUCGUCCGUACGUGUUGACUAGUCAAUUCGUCUUGUCUUGAGUAUGGGCAAGAGCUUGUCGCAUCGCUUUCACUACAUUUGCUUUGUCCUUUGACGAAUGCCCAUAUCAUACCGUCAAUGUUUCCUUUUAUGAGAUGUUGACCCCCAUCAAAGUUGAGUCAAAGACUUCUCUGUGUUCAUCGAUGUCUGUUACUUGGAGCUUGCCGAUCACCCUUGUUGCUUCCUCGCCUUCUUUAUCUUUGUAUGUUCGGAUUGCACCCAACACGGCUCAGUCAUUGCAUUCUCGAGAUCCUGUCGAGCUACUGGUCCCUUGUGAGCCGAGCGCGACAGAGCCUUCGGCUUCUCAGGUAUCGUCACUAGGCUUUACAGUUGCUCAUGGUGUUUGUUGAGGUGGGUCGCCACACGGGUCUAACCAAAGUGGACGAGGAAAGGUGAGAGGAGGCCGCUCCAAACGGGCUGCAAGUGCCUCAAGGUUAAUGAGGAGUCUGUUCCAGAUGUGCGUAGGGUAUUUUGUGCUCUUGGACUCCUCAAGAUGGUAAUAUCUAUACACCAUCCCCUUCAUUUUUUUGAGAGGACGUUUGGUGUUGUUGUAGAUCGUGAUUAUUUUUAUCCAAAGCUGCUGAGCUUUGACGAGGAUCAUAAAAGGUUGCUCGUUGUCGGUUGCCAAUGGUGGUAUGAUGUGGUCUCUACCCGUUUAUUGCAGCAACUGGCUCGUUUGAGGGUUGGUUAGGGUGUUUUCUCAUGAUUGUGUAAUUUAUUUCCAUGGUCUUUGUUUCAUAAUGUGUUUUCUUGUAAAAAUGGCUGGAAUUUGGUGAGCCUUCUCUUGUGAUAUGCAUCGCUGCUGUCCGUAAUAAGAAGAGGAAAACGAGGUCGCCACCUAGUGACACAGGUUAAAUGAUGAUCGGGUUAGGGUGGUACAAACAUCCAGUGAAUCAGACAGACCCUGAGGUUUAUUUUGAGCUGUGAUUUUCUGCUGAUCCUGUUAUGGCAAUGCCCCUAAGUAAUACUGAGUUGACUUACCUGUCCAGGAGCCACUUGCCACUCCGUGCGAUGUUUAUUUGUAGCCAUUGUCCUCGGAUGGAGGCGAAGUUACUUUGACCUAUAUUGAGCUUGUGUCUCCUAUUUGUGGUGGGGGUUUUGUCUCCUUGUGGUGUGCUUGUUGUUAGUGAGGCCCCAAGAACCUCAUAUCCUCCAUUUGCUAACGUGGCGGAGGAGGCCAAAUAUGCUCUUUUAGUUUUCCUUUAAUUUUCGCAUAUGGUUUUAUUUUUUUAUAUGAUGGGAAGGACUGUCUCGUUGCUAUCCGGUCGGUUGCACGAGUUUGUGUCGGAAGCUAACUCCAGCUGGAAUUGCUCUGGACGAGUUGUAUUUGGUUUUGAGGAUACAUAUACUGAACGUGCGAGGACGCAGUGUGGGGUCAAGAAGUUAGGCCGGUCAUCGACGAAAGCGAGGGAAGAGGACGAGCGGGAUCGAGCGACCGUCGAGGCAGCACGAGAAAAAUUGUCCCAAUCGUGGCUAGUGCUGAUUUCACUAGGCUUUGCGUGUCGCAGAGAAGAAACUGCACGAGGUUGAGGAGGCUUGCCAAAAUAACGUUCGGCACACGUAUUCUAUAAAGGGGGAUUUGGCUGUGGGGAAGGCCGGUGGAGAUUCACAAUCGUAGCGGUCUUGUUUUACUGCUAAGAGGUUCCUCAAAAAGAUUUGUAAAGUCGAGUUCACGCAGGAUCAUAGCGUCGUGGUUGAGCCGUCUAUUUUGUGAAAAAAAUUAGGAAGUCAAUCUAUUUACCUCAUUUUCAGAGGAUACAACAGUUUGUCGAUGAUCAAGAAGUCGCCUGAAGUGCUUCGGUCGAGUUUAAUCAAGUUUUUGGCUCCCUUGGUUGCCUCAGGUUUCUUCUGGAUGAGCACGACGUGUCGGUUCCUCCGAGUUUUAUUGAUCGGCUUCAAGCAAAGGAGAGCGAGUUUAUGGCUAAGGUCAUGUCGAUGGAGGUAUCUACCUUGACUAUAAUGAUUUCGAUGUAGUUCUGGAUGAGCCAUUCGCGUCUCUGAUCGCCGCAAUACCGAGUUUGUCUGUUGUUAUGGGGAAGGUACGCUUGAGGACAGCACUUGAUGUGAGUUGCAUUGGCUAUUUGGCCGUUUUUUUUGUUGUGAUGUGCGAUGUUUCCUUUUUGUUUGACCUCAGUGGAUGAGACCCCUUUUUGUUUUGUAUUUUGAUAUUUCACGUUUCGUUAAUUUGAUGUGAAGGUGCACCUUCUUUUACUGUUCAUACAUAUGUAUAUUAUUAUGGAUAUAUAUCUGUGUCUUUUUAAA